UUUUAGUAGAAGAAAACAGAUAUUGAAUCAAGAUGAAUGAGAUUCCAAGAAAACAAUAAAACCCAAGAAUUGUUCAUUUUCUUGAUACAGAAUUUCAGGUACACAUGUUCGUUACAACUGCUGAAGCCUAAAAGAAAUUUCAUGGUUCAACUACCGGCAAUACCUCGACUGAAAGAUACAAUAUACCUGUCGUCAGGUGAGAACGCCUUGA
rnacentral:misc_RNA from 1 species